AUGUGAUGUCAUGGGAUCUGGUACCAACAUACCUCCCUUCUUGCUAUUAUAAAGAGAAGGAGGGAAAUCAGGGAGGGAGAAGCCGAUGAUGAAAAGGUCCUCUCAGCUUCUGUCUCCGUCUUAAAUCAGCUGAUCUACACAAGAGAGAAAAUAGAAAUGCCUACGCAGAGACCAUGGCAUCCAUCCUCUAGCUUCAGGCCCAGGAAACACUCCAAAAGGGGAAGAGAGGUUGUAAAAGCCAGAAAAGAAAAUCUACCAUGAGACAAUGUCUCUUAGAAAUGACAUGGAAGUUUCACCCAUGAUACUUCAACAAAAGAGCUGCCUAAAUAUUCCUUAAAGUAUACUACUAAUAGACACACUAACAAGGAAGAAGAAGAAAUCUCCACAACCACAAACAACAACACUAAAACCUGACACAAGGCAACUAAGGAAUGAUGAGACUAGAAGUAGUCUUCCCUGUGGGAUCAAUUCCUUAAUUGCUUAUCUAUUAUCACAUGGUCAACCCUGAAAUCAUAUAUAAACAAGCAACACUUGAACUC